GAUUUUUUAUAUGAAAAGUUGGGGUGGACGGGUAGAAGGACACUCCUAAGGUGGCAGGGCUGGUAAGAAGUGAACUUCAGGGUGUGCUUCUCCGGCGCCUGCGCAGUCACUGGGGCCUGUUAACUCACAGGUUCCCAUCCGGGCUCUCCCAUCUCAAAUUUGGAUUGAUACCCUGGCAAACCGAUGCUAAUUUGGCAGAAAACUGCAUGUAAGCACCCACGGCAUGGAGAUGCUGACCAAAUACUCUGGCUCCUGUGACAUCUCGAAGGCCUGGCACAGGCUCCGAGGCACUGGGGGAAGAUCUAGCCCGCACCUUUCGAUGAGAUGAUCCUCAGACCUAAAUGAACACAAGUGACUGAGCUGGCCCGUGUGCGUCCACAUUUUAUUCAGUUCCACAGACACUUCUGGGCUGUGUGAAGGGACU